UUGGUGUUACUGCGAAGGGGGGGACGGAGAAGGCUAUGUUAGCCGGGCGACGGUUGUCCCGGUUUAAGCAUGUAGGCUGGUUGUCCAGGCAAAUCCGGAUAAUCAAGGCUGAGGUGUGAUGACGAGGUACUACGGUGCUGAAGUAACAAAUGCCCUGCUUCCAGGAAAAGCCUCUAAGCAUCAGGUAACAUCAAAUCGUACCCCAAACCGACACAGGUGGUCAGGUAGAGAAUACCAAGGCGCUUGAGAGAACUC
rnacentral:rRNA from 1 species